CCUACGGGAGGCAGCAGUGAGGAAUAUUGGUCAAUGGGCGGGAGCCUGAACCAGCCAAGUCGCGUGAGGGAAGACGGUCCUAUGGAUUGUAAACCUCUUUAGGCGGGGAGCAAUGCCGGGCACGUGUGCCCGGAGGGAGAGUACCCGCAGAAUAAGCAUCGGCUAACUCCGUGCCAGCAGCCGCGGUAAUACGGAGGAUGCGAGCGUUAUCCGGAUUUAUUGGGUUUAAAGGGUGCGUAGGCGGGAUGCCAAGUCAGCGGUAAAAAUGCGGUGCUCAACGCCGUCGAGCCGUUGAAACUGGCGUUCUUGAGUGGGCGAGAAGUAGGCGGAAUGCGUGGUGUAGCGGUGAAAUGCAUAGAUAUCACGCAGAACUCCGAUUGCGAAGGCAGCAUACCGGCGCCCUACUGACGCUGAGGCACGAAAGCGUGGGUAUCGAACAGGAUUAGAUACCCCAGUAGUC
rnacentral:rRNA from 1 species